AGCUCGAGGAGCGUGAGUGCUCGUCUUCGCACGACCCGUACCUACACUCACAUUUUCGGAUUCAAGAAACCCUAAAACCCGAUCUCCAUUUUCGGCGAGAUUCCGUUUCUCUCGGCUGCUCGUUUCAGAGGUUUUCGUUUCUCAGAUUUCGCAUCGGAAGACACAGAAAGCUCUUCUUCUUCUCCUUCUAGGGUUCUCUUCCUCCCUCUCUAUCUUGCUCUGUGCGCGUGUCGAUUCGAAGAUCUGCUAGGGUUUCGGUGAUUACCUUUAGAAAGACAGUCGAUUUUGACGAGAAUGACACGAUUGGAGCUCGAUCUCGUUCGAUUACAACCAAACCCUCGCCCUAAUCCAGAUUAGAAGUUGGUUUCAACAGAGAACAAAACUUCCAAAACUUAGAAGCUACCACCAGGACAAAGAACAGUUGCUUCUGGACCACGAAUUGAUUUAAAUCUAUUCAACUUCCUCAAAAUGUCUGGGCUGCUUAAUUCAACCCUCAAUGGAUCAACUUCAAAUCUUCCAGACUCCACAGGCCGGCCUUAUGCAACGUCGUUUUCUGCUCAAUCUGCAACAGCACCCGUUUUUCAUCAUUCAGGAACCAUGCAAGGGCUUCAUAACAUUCAUGGAAGCUUCAAUGUCUCAAACAUGCCUGGCUCGCUCACAUCACGAAACUCAGCAGUGGGUGGUGUCCGUUCAAGUGGGGUACAACAACCCACAGGAAGCCUUUCUAGUGGACGAUUUGCGUCAAACAAUCUGCCUGUGGCUCUUUCUCAGAUCUCUCAUGGAAGUUCUCACGGACAUUCAGGGGUCCCAAACAGAGAUGGUAUAAGUGUUGUAGGAAGCCCUGCAUAUAGUAGUAGCAUGAACGGAGUUGGCGGUUCUAUUCCUGGGAUUCCCCCAACCUCAGCUGCUGUUGGUAACCGGAGUGCUGUUCCUGGAUUGGGAGUAUCUCCAAUUUUGGGAAAUGCAGGUCCUCGAAUUACAAACUCCAUGGGGAACAUGGUUGGUGGGGGCAACAUUGGAAGGAGCAUAGGCUCUGGUGGAGGAUUUACUGUGCCUGGUCUUGCAUCACGUGUAAAUUUAACUGCUAACAGUGGAUCGGGAGGUCUCGGUGUACAAGGACCUAGCAGACUGAUGAGUGGUGUGCUUCGACAAGCACCACAGAUGAUUUCUAUGCUUGGAAAUUCUUAUUCUACAUCUGGAGGGCCGUUAUCUCAAAACCAAGUCCAAGCAGGGAAUAACCAAUUAAGCUCCCUGGGAAUGUUAAAUGAUGUUAACUCUAGUGAUAAUUCUCCUUUUGACAUGAAUGAUUUCCCUCAGUUGACUGGGCGUCCAAGUUCUGCUGGAGGGCCUCAAGGACAAUUGGGUUCUCUGCGAAAGCAAGGUGUUGGUGUUAGUUCUAUCGUUCAACAAAACCAAGAAUUUAGCAUCCAAAAUGAAGAUUUUCCAGCUCUACCUGGAUUUAAAGGUGGUAAUGCUGAUUUUGCAAUGGAUAUGCAUCAGAAAGAACAACUUCAUGACAAUGCCAUGUCUAUAAUUCAAUCCCAACACUACCCUAUGGGAAGAUCUGCUGGGUACAGCUUAGGUGGAACUUACGCAUCUCAUCGCCAGCAACAACAACAACAACAUGCUCCUUCAGUCAGUGGUACUGGGGUUUCCUUUACACCUGCAAACAGUCAAGAUCUCCUUCAUCUACAUGGCUCUGAUCUAUUCCCAUCUUCUCAUGGAACAUAUCAUUCACAGGUUCAGACCAGUGGACCACCUAGCAUUGGAUUGCGACCUCUCAAUUCUCCAAAUCAAGUUUCUGGUAUAGGAGCAUAUGAUCAACUUAUGCAGCAGUAUCAACACCACCCUCAGGCCCAAUUUCGGCUGCAACAAAUGUCAGCUCCUACUCAGUCAUAUAGAGAUCAGAGCCUGAAGUCCAUGCAGGGUGCCCAAGCUUCUCCUGAUCGAUUUGGCCUGUUGGGCUUGUUAAGUGUUAUAAGAAUGAGCGAUCCUGAUUUGACUUCUCUUGCUUUGGGGAUUGAUCUAACUACUUUAGGGUUAAAUCUAAACUCAACAGAUAACCUUCAUAAAACAUUUGGGUCUCCAUGGUCUGAUGAGCCUGCCAAGGGAGAACCUGAGUAUGUGGUGCCUGAGUGUUAUUAUGCCAAGCAACCACCUCCAUUGCAUCCACGGUAUUUCUCCAAGUUCCAGCCCGAGACACUGUUCUACAUCUUUUACAGCAUGCCAAAAGAUGAGGCUCAGUUGUAUGCUGCUAAUGAGCUUCUUCAAUUUGAAUUUUCAGGCACGCUCGAGGGUGGUUCUAUCACAGAGAACUCCGUAUGUGGCUCAUAAGGGUCCCAAGUUCAGAGCUUCUUGCCAAGACAAACACACAUGAGAGGGGAUCCUACCACUGUUUCGAUCCCAACACAUGGGAAACAGUCCGCAAGGACAAUUUCGUCCUCCAUUAUGACAUGUUGGAGAAGAGACCGUCCCUCCCUCAGCAUCAGCAUGUUGGCCAUUGAUCUCAACCUAAACGUGUAUCACCAUCCAUUCUCCCUUUGGGAGUCAAUUGCAUUUCCUGCAAUCCAGAGCCUUCUGCUCUUCCGAUCGGCGAUCUUUGGUUUUUUUUUCGUCCCCUACCGGCUGGGAGCGGCAGCAGAUUCUGCAGCAGAGGAAGUUGUAAAGACCCAUUCCAUUUCUGUUUCUUCUUCUGUAUGUCAGGCUCUUUGCAUCACAUCCUUCAAACAUCUUUGAAAAAAUGUUGUCCAUGUUAGAAUAAACAAGUGGAAGAAGAAGCAAUCUUUUCCUUUCUUUC